rnacentral:rRNA from 1 species
CCUACGGGUGGCAGCAGUGGGGAAUAUUGCACAAUGGGGGAAACCCUGAUGCAGCGACGCCGCGUGAGUGAAGAAGUAAUUCGUUAUGUAAAGCUCUAUCAGCAGGGAAGAAAAUGACGGUACCGGAGUAAGAAGCCCCGGCUAACUAAGUGCCAGCAGCCUCGUUAAAACGUAGGGGGCAAGCGUUAUCCGGAUUUACUGGGUGUAAAGGGAGCGUAGACGGCAGUGCAAGUCAGGAGUGAAAGGGGGGGGCUCAACCCCCGGACUGCUAUGGAAACUGUACGGCGGGAGUGCAGGAGAGGUAAGUGGAAUUCCUAGUGUAGCGGUGAAAUGCGUAGAUAUUAGGAGGAACACCAGUGGCGAAGGCGGCUUACUGGACUGUAACUGACGUUGAGGCUCGAAAGCGUGGGGAGCAAACAGGAUUAGAUACCCGAGUAGUC